rnacentral:rRNA from 1 species
UACGUAGGCAGCAAGCGUUGUUCGGAGUUACUGGGCGUAAAGGGUGCGUAGGCGGUUGUUUUAAGUUUGGUGUGAAAAUCUCCCCGGCUCAACCGGGGAGGGUGCGCCGAAUACUGAAUGACUAGAGUGCGGGAGAGGAGAGUGGAAUUCCUGGUGUAGCGGUGAAAAUGCGUAGAUAUCGGGAGGAACACCAGUGGCGAAGGCGACUUCCUGGCCUGUUCUUGACGCUGAGGCGCGAAAGCUAGGGGAGCAAACGGGG